UCCUUCUCGCUACCACACAGUUGCGGCCAUCGGUUUCUAACUGGUUUCUUGCUGUCACUCAUUUAGAGGAAGUGAAGCCCCUUUACGCUGAAGGCGGGCCGUUCAUCUUCCGGUCCAUCCGCCCUCCCCUCCACCUCAUCUGCCCUGUGCCCCCACUUACCUAACUACGGAACAGUUCCACUUCCAGCCCCGUUCCUGUGUCUGCCGGCUCUGGCUCCCUCGGCCUCUCUCUUUCUCUGUGACCUUAAGUAAGUCAGAUGGAUAUUUCACCUCCUGCCUGGAGACAGAGGAGCCACGUCCCACCUCACAGGGGAUUUCCGAGGGCUCAUUAAAAGUUCCUGAAGUGUCUUGAGAACCAGCCUGGUCUCGGGCAGAGCAAGCAGCUUUGACGGCGGGGCUGCGCGUGGUCCUUGUAAACACGGCAGCUCAUUACAAGCUCUUAUGACAAGGCUUCAGAAACAACUUUCUCAAGGGAUGCUGGUAAAAGAGGAGGCAAAGUCACUUCUGUCAGAGGCAAUAAGUCAAAAGAAUCCAACUGAAUCUCCUCUUGAGGGGCCCCCACUGCAGAAUCUAAGAGGGUAAAGGAAAGGUUUUUUUCCUUCCCUUACAUCUGACACAUGGUAAAGACCAAAUAAAUGAAAGAAAAAUGAAUUUUUGAAAAAAAAACUGGAAAAGUGGGAGAAGAAAUCCUGUGAAUAAAACCUGCAUCUAUGCAAACUCCUACCUACUAGCUGUUCUGGUUUUAAUUUCCUCUAAUUCCAACUAUAUUGACCUAAACCACCCUGUACUGACAAGCCUUGGGUUUUAAGGGGAGCUAGGAAAAAAAAUUUCUCCUUAUGAAUUAUUAGAAAAGUGACCCAAGAACAGGUCCUGUUGAAAAUUGACAAAUAUUGGCAUUUUAACCAAUAUUAAAUCAAACAAAAAGAAAUGUCAAAUGGUACCAAUAUUAAGUAACAGCUUGCUUGCUUGCUGUUUGAAGUGCGCUGGCUUCAAAAGUUUGUUCAUUUGUUGGUUUGUUUAUAAAGGACAGCAGUUAUCCUUGGAAAUAGCACAGGUUAAAAUAGAAAACAGACAGAAAUGGCACUUACAUAUGGUAGAUUAUGGAUUUUGGUGCUUUCAUCUUUUCUCAGGUAUAUAAAUAAGUCUAAAAACCUAUAAGUUGUUUAGCUUCUUGGUCUUCCCAUGAAGAAACUGGACUAUAUUUUCACCAGUCAGUUCCCUUGGCUAAGUCCCUUCUAAAUAGUCAGUUGAGUCAAAAACUGCCAAAGAAUCUUCCUUGCCGAGGGCUGUCUAAUGAUGCAUUCCAGCUAAUGAGAUCUCAGCA